rnacentral:rRNA from 1 species
UCUUUAUGUUAAGAUUAAUUAAAUAAAUUAUUUUUAAAUUAGUAUUUUUAAUGAGUUAAUUAAACAUUUUAUUGGGGCGAUAUAAAAAUUUAUUAAACUUUUUAUUAAACAUAUACUUUAAUUAAAGAUUUAAUUUAUUGAUCUAUUAUUAAUAAUUUAAAGAAAAAGA